ACCUAGGAGGUGGAAUUUGCAGUGAGCCAAGAUCGUGCCACUGCGUUCCAGCCUGGGUGAUAGAGCAAGACUCUGUCUCAAAAAAAAUAAAUUAAGUUAAAAAAAGUACGCUUUCCUUUCGCUGCUGCGGCCACAGCCAUGAGUAUGCUCAGGCUUCUGAAGAGGCUCGCCUCUAGUGUCCUCCGCUGUGGCAAGAAGAAGGUCUGGUUAGACCUUAAUGAGACCAAUGAAAUCGCCAAUGCCAACUCCCGUCAGCAGAUCCGAAAGCUGAUCAAAGAUGGGCUGUGACUGUCCAUUCCCCAACGGGAUGUGGGAAAAAUACCUUGGCCCGCCGGAAGGGCAGGCACAUGGGCAUAGGUAAGCGGAAGGGUACAGCCAAUGCCGGAAUGCCAGAGAAGGUCACGUGGAUGAGGAGAAUGAGGAUUCUGUGCCGGCUGCUCAGAAGAUACCGUGAGUCUGAGAAGAUUGAUCGCCCCAUGUAUCACAGCCUGUACCUGAAGGUGAAGGGGAAUGUGUUCAAAAACAAGCGUAUGCUCAUGGAACACAUCCACAAGCUAAAGGCAGACAAGGCCGGCAAGAAGCUCCUGGCUGACCAGGCAGAGGCCCGCAGGUCUAAGACCAAGGAAGCACGCAAGCGCCUGAAGAGCGCCUCCAGGCCAAGAAGGAAGAGAUCAGAGAUCAUCAAGACUUUGUCCAAGGAGGAAGAGACCAAGAAAUAAAAGCUCCCCCUUUGUCUGUACAUACUGGCCUCCGUGAUUACAUAGAUCAGCCAUUAAAAUAAAACAAGCCUUUUUCUGCAAAAAAAAAAAAAAAAAAAAAA